rnacentral:rRNA from 1 species
GAUGAACGCUGGCGGCGUGCCUAAUACAUGCAAGUCGAGCGAACAGACGAGGAGCUUGCUCCUCUGACGUUAGCGGCGGACGGGUGAGUAACACGUGGAUAACCUACCUAUAAGACUGGGAUACCUUCGGGAAACCGGAGCUAAUACCGGAUAAUAUAUUGAACCGCAUGGUUCAAUAGUGAAAGACGGUUUUGCUGUCACUUAUAGAUGGAUCCGCGCCGCAUUAGCUAGUUGGUAAGGUAACGGCUUACCAAGGCAACGAUGCGUAGCCGACCUGAGAGGGUGAUCGGCCACACUGGAACUGAGACACGGUCCAGACUCCUACGGGAGGCAGCAGUAGGGAAUCUUCCGCAAUGGGCGAAAGCUUGACGGAGCAACGCCGCGUGAGUGAUGAAGGUCUUCGGAUCGUAAAACUCUGUUAUUAGGGAAGAACAAAUGUGUAAGUAACUAUGCACGUCUUGACGGUACCUAAUCAGAAAGCCACGGCUAACUACGUG